UGGGUUUAACAGAUGAAGUCUGCUGAUCAGGUGCAGAGAUCAAACUAAACGUGUUUCAUCUGAAUUGGACAGGAAUGGCCCAUCAGUGGAGGGAACUGGGGGCAAGGCACUCAGAGCUACCCAGAGAUCAUCAUCACCGGACAUGCUGACGGGUCGAUCAAAUUUUGGGAUGCUUCUGCACUGAUGCUGCAGGCGUUGUACC